rnacentral:rRNA from 1 species
UGGGGAAUAUUGGGCAAUGGGCGAAAGCCUGACCCAGCGACGCCGCGUGGGUGAUGAAGGCCUUCGGGUUGUAAAGCCCUUUCGUGCGGAAAGAACAGUCCCGUGGUUAAUACCCGCGGGAUUUGACGGUACCGCAGGAAGAAGCACCGGCUAACUCCGUGCCAGCAGCCGCGGUAAUACGGAGGGUGCAAGCGUUGUUCGGAAUUACUGGGCGUAAAGGGCGCGUAGGCGGUAAUGUAAGUCAGAUGUGAAAUCCUUCGGCUUAACCGGAGAACUGCAUCUGAAACUGCAUAACUAGAGUACAGAAGAGAGAAACGGAAUUCCCGGUGUAGAGGUGAAAUUCGUAGAUAUCGGGAGGAACACCAGUGGCGAAGGCGGUUUCCUGGUCUGAUACUGACGCUGAGGCGCGAAAGCGUGGGGAGCAAACAG